GUUGUUCCAACAAAGCCUCUUAGACUUUAUGUGGCCAGCCUAGACCCACCCUACUUCCUCCGAUGUUUGUUCAUAGCGCAUUGGUUUUCACACUUUUCGGGGUUUUUGUCAUACACUUGUCUUUCUCUCGCUUGCCGGCCAGGUUCGGGUGUCCCAGCCUUUUCAUACUUCACCAUUUCAUACUUCAAGAUUACUGGCAGUAUAUGCUUGGGAUCCCUAGCUUGGUUGUCUAGGAUCGGUGUGGGUCAUGCAAUCGGGGUUUGUUCGAGGGGUUCGGUCUGGAGUGGAGUGUUUCCUUUGCUGUCGAGUUGUGCUUCUUCUGCGUGGAUUGGAGGUGGAAGAAUUUGAGACCGUUGGAACGAUGGUUCGGAUGCGCUCGUGAGAGAUCUGUUCUUAAUCAGAUACAGAUGAUGCCUACAUUGGGAGACGGAUAGCAGAUUUCAGCUGGCAAAUAAUCUCCCUGCAGUACACAACCAGCUAAA